rnacentral:lncRNA from 1 species
GCGUAUGAAUGUGAACAAUGAGAGAGACGCAUUUGUAUCUUUGAAACCCAUUUUAAGGGGCAUUGGGCGAGAAAUCGUCCAUAGAUAAUCGAACUAUCAUACGCCUUGGAAAUGAUAUGAGGUGUUCGGAAAUGGUUGAAGUAGUUGAAUAGGAGGAUCACUAUGACUAUAGCCCAUGGUAGAUUUACCAAAGAAGAAAAUGAUUUAUUUGAUAUCCAUCACAAUUAUUAAUUACAAUGUGAUAGCCAAACCAUCUCCUG